rnacentral:rRNA from 1 species
UACGUAGGGUCCAAGCGUUGUCCGGAAUUACUGGGUAUAAAGGGUGCGCAGGCGGAUCUGUGCGUCGGAGGUUAAAGACCCGGGCUCAACCCGGGAAGUGCCUUCGAUACGGCGGAUCUUGAGUGUGAGAGAGGAUAGUAGAAUUCCUGGUGUAGCGGUGAAAUGCGUAGAUAUCAGGAGGAAUACCAGUGGCGAAGGCGGCUAUCUGGCUCAUAACUGACGCUUAGGCACGAAAGCGUGGGGAUCAAACAGG